ensembl:snRNA U6 U6 spliceosomal RNA
AUGCUCACUUCAGCAGCACAUGAACUAAAAUUAGAAUGAUAUAGAGAAGAUUAGCAUGGCCCGUGAGCAAGGAUGACAAGCAAAUUCAUAAAACACUCCAUUCGGAG